UAAAUGCCAACAGGUGUGCUCUCUACCCCGCCUCCGCUGAGCGUCCUUAGGGAGGCCUGUUGUCAAAACACAGGGAAGAUGUCCCAUCAAGCACAGUUCAACAUGUACUGAUAACUCGUACCACCACACAGAAUGAACAAAUGUUCAUCUUUCCACAUUUGUUCUUGAGUGUUCUUUUAGGAAACUUGGAGAGAGUUGGCAUCAUGCCCGGGCCUCACAUCGACUAAGGUGGAGAAAGAUUGAGAAAGAGCAGUAGCAACGCGGGUCUCCGUGUGCGCAUGCGCACACGUGCACAAGCGCACGGACAGGUACCUUCAAACAACAAAGAAGCUCUGAAGCAGGCCUGGAGGACCGGAGGAGCCAAGUCACCUCAGCAGCCAUGGAGGAAGAGCACACCCACCCGGUGAUGGGAGCCAGGAGGACUUCCAGGGACAGCCACUCCCCAGGCUCCGUGUCUUCUUUCUCUCAGUGUGCAGAGGUCUGCUGUUGUGCCCACUUCACAGAUGGCAUUCAGAGAGGCUCAAGUUAGACUCUGUGACCAGGACAUCAACCAUACCCAGCAGGGUUCACAGAAGCAGGACCAAGAUGUCAGCUGAGGGCACAUUCCAAGGACUCCUUGGAUAAAGACCUCCGGCUGCCACCGCCACCCCAUGAGGUCACUUCUAAUCCUCUGAAGGCUUCUCUGUUAUUCACACUCUCUGUACAGAUAGAGCCCCCUUCCAGGUCUCACCCAAAACGGCCAGCAGAACAGGCUGUGACGACUUCGGGAUCAAUCUCUGGUUGCCUGUCAGGUGUGACCAGCCUCUGGGAUGCCCACAUCUAACCUGUGGAGGUUGUGACCUGAAGACAGGGAGCAAUUCUAGGUUGGUGAUACCCAGAGUCACCACAGGGUCCUUGCGGAAGGGAAGCAGAGGGGUGUGUGUAAGUGCUGGGCAUUAAACUUACUGAGCGGACUGCCUCUGCAGUCCCCAGCCCACA
rnacentral:sRNA from 1 species